UACGUAGGGUGCGAGCGUUAAUCGGAAUUACUGGGCGUAAAGCGUGCGCAGGCGGUUCGCCAAGUCAGGUGUGAAAUCCCCGGGCUUAACCUGGGAAUUGCGCUUGAAACUAGCGGGCUUGAGUGUGGCAGAGGGGGGUGGAAUUCCACGUGUAGCAGUGAAAUGCGUAGAGAUGCGGAAGAACACCAGUGGCGAAGGCGGUCAACUGGCCUCAUAUUGACACUCAGACGCGAAGGCAUGGGUAGCGAACGGG
rnacentral:rRNA from 1 species